rnacentral:antisense_RNA from 1 species
CUUCAGCGAACCGAGCCACAACGGCCGGCCUGGCGGCCGGUUGCGCCCGUAUGUCGCCAUCAGCGCGCCCGCCUC